rnacentral:rRNA from 1 species
UACGAGGGGGGCAACUGUUAUUCGGAAUUAUUGGGCGUAAAGGGCGCGUAGGCGGCAUGGCAAGUGGAUGGUGAAAUCCCUCGGCUUAACCGAGGAACUGCCGUCCAAACUGCUUCGCUUGAGACCGGGAGAGGUGAGUGGAAUUCCCAGUGUAGCGGUGAAAUGCGUAGAUAUUGGGAGGAACACCAGUGGCGAAGGCGGCUCACUGGACCGGUACUGACGCUGAUGCGCGAAAGCGUGGGGAGCAAACGGG